UGGAUAUAAUACAAUAAUAAAAAUUCUAAUAAAUGCACAAGGGCCCACAUUAAAUUUACCCUUUUAAAUAAUUAAUAAUUAUGAAUAAUUAAAAUAUAAAAGACAGAAAUCACACGUAAUUUUUUUUUUUCUAAAGUAAAGAGAAAGGUAGGUAUUGCAUAAUCACAGCAGGAAAUAUUGUUGACUGUUAACCUACAAAUUAGGACAAAAGAGAAAAAUAGAGAAAGAAGAAAGAGAUUCAGGGAAGGUAGGCCAG
rnacentral:misc_RNA from 1 species